GAUGAAGAACGUAGCGAAAUGCGAUACUUGGUGUGAAUUGCAGAAUCCCGUGAACCAUCGAGUCUUUGAACGCAAGUUGCGCCCGAAGCCAUUAGGCCGAGGGCACGCCAGCCUGGGCGUCACACGUCGUUGCCCCCCCCAUCUACUCCUUCGGGAUUGCGGGGGGCGGAUGAUGGCCUCCCGUGCGCCUCGCCGCGCGGUUGGCAUAAAUGCCAAGUCCUCGGCGACGCACGCCACGACAAUCGGUGGUUGCGAAACCUCGGUUGCCCGUCGUGUGCGGUCGUCGCGCAUCGAGGGCUCGAAAAAAUUGCCGAGUUCCGGCUCGGCUUUCAACGCGACCCCAGGUCAGGCGGGGUUACCCGCUGAAUUUAAGCAUAUCAAUAAGCGGAGGA
rnacentral:misc_RNA from 1 species